UACGUAGGGUGCAAGCGUUAAUCGGAAUUACUGGGCGUAAAGCGCACGUAGGCGGAUACUUAAGUUAGGGGUGAAAUCCCAGGGCUCAACCCUGGAACUGCCUUUAAUACUGGGUAUCUUGAGUUCGAGAGAGGUGAGUGGAAUUCCGAGUGUAGAGGUGAAAUUCGUAGAUAUUCGGAGGAACACCAGUGGCGAAGGCGGCUCACUGGCUCGAUACUGACGCUGAGGUGCGAAAGCGUGGGGAGCAAACAGG
rnacentral:rRNA from 1 species